rnacentral:sRNA from 1 species
UAUGUGAUGGCGCAUUAUUCUAGUCAAGGAUAUUUAAUAUGAAGAUGGGGUUAAAAUACCAUUAAAUAGCACAUCUGUGAAGCUUUUGGUGUUUGCUUCUUACGCCCAGUUUGGGGUGAAUGCUGGAAGAAUUAAAUAUUGGGCAUCCGUAAUGGCAUACGAAAAUGACCCAGUAUUUUUGGAGACCUAACCUUGUGGUAAGCCUAAACACUUUUAUUGGUUGAUGGACUUAAUACGACUUAGGAUUGAACCUAUCAAGUGGCGAAAGUUGCGGAUAGUGUAGCUUGUCUUGAGUGAAUAUGGGGGAUAAUUGGUUCUAUUUAAAUAGUUUGGCCAAACUGUUUAAAUACUAGAAUUUGAAACUAUAUUUGCAAAAAAGAACUAAUAUUAAAUAACUUGUUUGAGGAAAUCUUCUAGAGUGUCAUUAUAAUAUGGGAUUAUAGUGUGUACUAAGUGGCAAUCAAGUCGUAUAUUUGGAGACAAUAUACUUAUUUCUUUAAAAGGGAACUGCUAUUCUGGUAACGGAAAGUAGAAAUAAGGGAAAUCCUACUUGACCUAAGACAUAAAGUUAACCAUAUUAAAGACCAUUAA